CCUACGGGUGGCAGCAGUGAGGAAUAUUGGUCAAUGGACGAGAGUCUGAACCAGCCAAGUAGCGUGAAGGAUGACUGCCCUAUGGGUUGUAAACUUCUUUUAUAAAGGAAUAAAACGAGGCACGUGUGCCUGGUUGCAUGGACUUUAUGAAUAAGGAUCGGCCAACUCCGGGCCCGCAGCCGGGGUAAUACGGAGGAUCCGAGGGUUAUCCGGAUUUAUUGGGGUUAAAGGGAGCGUAGAUGGGUUGUUAAGUCAGUUGUGAAAGUUUGCGGCUCAACCGUAAAAUUGCAGUUGAAACUGGCAGUGUUGAGUACAGUAGAGGUGGGCGGAAUGCGUGGUGUAGCGGUGAAAUGCUUAGAUAUCACGAAGAACUCCGAUUGCGAAGGCAGCUCACUGGACUGCAACUGACACUGAUGCUCGAAAGUGUGGGUAUCAAACAGGAUUAGAUACCCUAGUAGUC
rnacentral:rRNA from 1 species